rnacentral:rRNA from 1 species
AUGAACGCUGGCGGCGUGCCUAAUACAUGCAAGUCGAGCGAACAGACGAGGAGCUUACUCCUCUGACGUUAGCGGCGGACGGGUGAGUAACACGUGGAUAACCUACCUAUAAGACUGGGAUAACUUCGGGAAACCGGAGCUAAUACCGGAUAACAUGUUGAACCGCAUGAUUCAACAGUGAAAGACGGUCUUGCUGUCACUUAUAGAUGGAUCCGCGUCGCAUUAGCUAGUUGGUAAGGUAACGGCUUACCAAGGCAACGAUGCGUAGCCGACCUGAGAGGGUGAUCGGCCACACUGGAACUGAGACACGGUCCAGACUCCUACGGGAGGCAGCAGUAGGGAAUCUUCCGCAAUGGGCGAAAGCCUGACGGAGCAACGCCGCGUGAGUGAAGAAGGUCUUCGGAUCGUAAAACUCUGUUAUUAGGGAAGAACAAAUGUGUAAGUAACUAUGCACGUCUUGACGGUACCUAAUCAGAAAGCCACGGCUAACUACGUG